GUAUAUGGGUGAGAGAGCAAAAAAAUGAAGAAGAAGAAGAAUAGGGGGAAGGGGGGUAAGGAGAGGAAGGGAGAGAGAGCUUGACUGCCAUCAAUGGCAGAAGGAGGAGGAGCUGGAUUGAAAUGCGGGGAAGCUGGCCUGAGGUGUAGCAGAGGCCGAUGAGCGGGAUGGCGACAGUGACAACAACUCCAGCAGGCGGUAGGCGGCAAGAAGACUGUGUAGAUGGCAGCCACUUGUCGACCUUGUUCUGGUCGACUCCGGUGACCAAUGGCGGUGGUUUUGGUCUUUAAAUGACCAACAACUUGAGGGUUUUCUAAUGGGAGCAGCGGUGAGAUGGCCAAAGGAAGAAGAUUCGACGAGUUGAAUAGUGUAAGGGCGGUUUGAUUUUUUGAAUUUUUCGGUUAAUGUCGUUAAGCUUUCAAUGAUCAGAGGACACAUUCAAACCACUCUCAUCACAAGCUUUCCAAUGGCACCGGUUUCGUGACUAUCAGACUUUGUUGGAAAAUCGAUAGUUGAAACUGUCCGUGAUGUAUCGGGAUGAUCAGGGCUGGAUUAGAGAAUUAGAUGCUAGAAUCAUCAUCUACACAAUGUCUCAAGUCUGUAGGCGCGCUCAGAUUUUCGAUCGGACUCCGACGACUAGAUGCGAGUCUACUGAUUUCAGCACGCUUCUUGUCUGAUAGGCAAUAAAGAGCUCUCCCCAGCACUACAGAAUCAAACCCGAGGGAGCAUUGCAAGGCUAUCACCUUGCGAUCAGUAUUAUGCAGGAUGUUAAGAGUCAUAUCAGAUUAGAAGUCAAGCAGUUAGAGAUUCGGGUUGCUAGACUCCAUGGUCCGAGAAAGUGAAGAUAGAAGAUUAGAUAAUUAGAUCCAGUUUGGAAAAGACCAUUACAUUAUAAUAUUUAUUCUUUUGAUUUUAAUUUUUAAUUUGAUAUUUCU